rnacentral:lncRNA from 1 species
GACCCUUGUCCAGACCAGCCGGAGGCUGGCCAGCCCCAGCGGGGCUGUACUGUGUGCCCUUGGGGCCAAACGUGUGUGGUCUGGUAUCUGGAGCCCUGCGGGAGGGGAGGACCAUGUGCCUCUUGCUUCCUGGCCAGGGCUUUCGGCUGGAGGACGUGGAUUGGAACAGCGUUGCCCGCCGGUAUCCCAACCUCUUCACCAACAUGGAGCCCAGCUCAAAGCAAAAGUAACUGCACAGAGCAGGGACUCCCCAGGGGCCAGAAGGGAGGGCUCACCUUGGCAAGUGAAGACGCAGGACACUAAAGGACCAUUUAGUGUCCCUGGAUAAGUCUCUUAAACCUUCCAAUGCGCGUUCUCUGAUCUGUAGAAUGCGUUGGGGUUGAGGCAGCCAUCACUGUCCUGCCAUGAACUGAGCCUGGGUACUGGGAGGCAAGAGGGGCUCCCUGCUGCACUGCCUUGUGAGGCUGGACGGGGGCAGGGCUGGGGUCUGGAGCUGGAGUGGCCAUCAAGCAGAGCGUGGUCCACAGGCAGCCCCGGCCCUGGCCACAGCUGGACACAGGGAGCCCAGAGUCCUCUGGAAAGCAUUCCGAGCGGCAUCACAAGACCGUGGAGUGGGGCUCCCUGCCCUGUCUGAACACCAGCAGCUCAGGGGGCGCUGACUCCGACUCCAGCAGCUGCCGGCCGGGCCUGCCUUCCUUCGUGCAGGUGAUAGGGCACCCGCCCCGGGACCACCGCGCUUCCUCCGAGCAAGCGCUGGUGCAGGCCGGCAGCUACAGCAGGGACUCAGAAGGUGCAGUGGGGCGGGUCUCCCCUGGUUACCCUUCACCCACCCUCCACCCCCUCAGAGCUGUGAUCUCACUCAGAGCCCUGGAGGUGGCCCUCCAGCCCCCAAGGUCCAGCCACCUUUCCUGCCCCAUCUGACCCUGGCCCUGCUCCCUGCCCCGCCAGGCGUUGCAGGCCUGUUCUGACCUCACGGGGAACAUCCGGUGGGGACUCCAUUCGAGGGUCCCCUCCCCAAAAGCGCUGCUCUCUCUAGAUCUCCAGAAAACCCACUCACCCAGGCACGGCGAGCCGGUCCUGUCGCCCCAGCCCUGCACAGACCCGGACCACUGGAGCCCGGAACUCCUGCAGAGGUAAGGGGCGAGUGACCCAAGCCUCCGGCGCCGGACUGGAGCUGGUUUCCGGGCGGGGCGCGCAGCUGUGCGGGUGGACCGGCCGCAUCUCCUCACAGCGUCUCCUCUCUUCCCAGCCCGACAGGCCUGAAGAUCGUGGCUGUGAGCUGCCGGGAGAAGUUCGUCCGCAUCUUCAACCCGUCGCAGGAGAGCACGGCCGACCUGAGCGGCAUGGUGCUGAAGCAGCUGGUGCGCGGCUUCCCGGAGCGCCUGUACCGCUUCCCGCCGGGCACGCUGCUGGCCCCGCGGCACCACGUCACGGUGCGCCCCGGCCCGGGAGCCCGGCCCCGACGGCCCGGCCCGGCCGCCCCUCACCCGCCGCUCCACGCCCCUCCAGGUCUGGGGCGAGGCGACCCGCAGCGCCAAGAAGCCGCUGCGCGCGUCCUCGAGCCGGGAGCCCGUUCCCCUCCUCUCCAUCCGCGGCUGCGCGACGCUGCUCCUGAGCCCCAAGGGCGAGGUCGGUGCGGGUCCCCGGUGGGGCGGCCGGGGCUGGGGUGUGGGGGUGACCGACGCGCCCCGCAGGUCCUCAGUGAGCACCGGAUCCCACGCCGCGAGACUCCGGCCCCGAGGGUCUUCGCCGACGGCACCGACUUGUCCAUCGACCGCUUCCCGCUCCCUGAGGCCGGGCCCGGCGCCGACACCCGCAAGCCGCCGCGCCCACCUCGACCCCUGCGCAAAGGCCGGGUGCGGGAGCCCCGGGUCAGUCGCCGGAGACCAGGGUGGGGACCGCGGGUCCCCGGGAUCUGGCCUCCCUCCCCAGGCCCCGACCCAGCAGAAACGGUCCCUCGUAUCC